GCAAGUCUGAGGAAAUGGCCCACACGCCGCCAUCGUAUCUGAGCACAGGCCAUAUCAUGGGGAAGAGUCCAGGUGAACAAGAUCCUAAAGGUGGGGAAAGAUCUUGUGAUCGAUGGCCACGUCUUCUGCAGCUGACUGGGCUUUGGUAUUGCCAUUUGGGAGACGAAGUGCUAGGAAUGUUCCUUAAGGAGAGAAUACCGACGUUGCCAAUGGGAUUAGAGGUUCAUCUGUGUCAUUGCUGUCUGCUGCCUUAGAUCAUGAAUGAAGACAAACUGAGGAGUAUGUUGAACCUAUUCCACCCAUCACAAUACCAUCAAAAGACACACUAAAGCACUUUUGAAUGAUGAAUCAGACUUAUUUAUUGACCACCUACUAUGUGCAAAGCCCUCUGCUAGCUGUGAAUGGAUGAAAGCAUGAGUUACCUAAGGUUCCUGCUGUCAAGUUACAUUAGGCAACGUUUCCGCUGACCGACAGACUUGUCAAAGGCUGGCUUCCCGAGCAUUAUUACCAACAUCACCUUCUGAUAACAGAAAACACACCUCGACAGAGGUUGGGCAGUAUCUCAGGGCAGGGAAGGUGACAUCAGAUUUUACUGAGAAUUAGAAGUUGAUUAAAGGUAAGAUCAGUGGAAACAGCAAGGUAAGGAUUUUGAGAGAAGGCAUGAAAGAAGCUUGGGGUGAGUACUGUCGAUCCUUUCCACUGAAGAGUUCAUGAGUCUUUUGAAAGUCAGGUGAGACAGUCCUGGAAAAGUACCGUCGUUCUAAGGAAGACAGUGGGAUGGCUAAGUUAUGUGAGUGUAGACAGCAGGCAGUAGUAGCAGUUUUGUGUCCAGGUUGGGUGUGGAGCAGAUGGUUUUGGUUCUCACACCUAAGAGAGAAGCUUCUCUGGGGCUGGGCAUCUAAGCACCCCUUUACCACAGGCUUCAAGCUGCAGGCUGGUUCUGACCGGGUUAGGCUAAUCCGGUUUCACUUGGGGAUGGACUGUUGCUGCCAUGAGCAAAAUCAAACUUGUGCCAAUAAGGAAGAGAGAGGGAAUGGACACGGGUUAAGCAACUCGCUUUAUUUCCUGUAACAGGUAGGGAGGGAGAUUGAUGGCCAGCAGAGAGGCCCUGCCUUCUUGAGACCAUGGUUCCUUGGAGGCCAAGACCCGGGGCAAGGCUCUGCGUCAGCCGUUCUUUCCUCUAAGCUCAGGGCCCUGGCUCCUGGGUACCUUAGGGUCAUACUCUGCUGACCUGUAGUCUCCUACAAGCAGGAAUGUUCCAUCAUGAUUCUGACCAUUUGUUCCUUGGUCAGUCCAGCCUGGUGCUUAUGGUUUUCUCCAUCUCAUCACAUCUGAUCUCAUCUCAUACCACUUUCUUCCUCUCUCGCCAUACCCCAGGCACACUGCAUUUUCCUGCCUCUCACACUUCAUCUCAGUUCUGCCUCAGGGCCUUUGCACUUGCUGUGCAUCUGGCCUGGACUGCCUUUGCUAGGGUUCUUCUCCUGUCUCCCACUGUUCGGGUUCCAGCUCCAAUGUCACCUCUUCAAAGAGGCCUUUCCUGUCGGCUCCUUUGAAAGUGGCCUCUGCCCACAGGAAUGCCCCAACCCAUCACCUUCUUUGCAUCUAUCCCUCUCUGAAAUGACCUUGUUCACUAGUUUACUUACUAACUGACCUCCACCUUAACUGGAAUAGAAGCUUCAUGAGAGUCCCAUCUGUCUUCUUCACACCUGUAACCUCAGUUCUUAGAAAGGACACCAGAUAUAGUUAUAAUAAAACAUUAGAAAAUAAUAACAGCUAACUUUUUAUAUUGGACCAGGCACUGUUUUUAAGACCCUCAAUGUAUUAUUAUCUAUUUGCUCUUCCUAACAGACCUUAUUAUCCCACUUUUACUGAGGGACAAAGAAGUUAAAUGAGAUCAUAGACUUCUGAGGUCCCAGAAAUGGCAUAAAUUAAGUGCCCAACACAUUUUUAUUAAAUUUAAAAAAAUUAACCUUUGAUUUUUUUGUU